GCUAUGUUCGACCUCUGACCAGUAUUACUCAUCAUUGCCGUAAGGGAUUAAGCUUUCAGCGGGGAUGCACACAGGAAAGACGUACAUGAGCAGACAUAUGGUAGCAAUUGCUAUUGUAUGUUUUCAAUGAGGACACUGACAAGCUGGACAUAGAAGUCAAUUCAGUGCAUUUACAAAUAACAAGACAGCUCCACAUGGUAUGAUGAAACCACAAAAAUAAUGCCUCCAUUCUCAGACUGAGAGAUAGUGAAAUCCUGGCCUGUGGAGGUGCGAGACUGUGAAUGAACAUCGUGGCUGACUCAAAGGUCACAGCACAGGAUUAAUUAGACCACAACCAGGAGAGGGAAUGUGAUCGUCUCUCCACCCAGGCAGAUGCUGUGCAGCUGCCUGUAUGAACUGUGAAAGGCCCUGGGAGAGCAGAGAGCUGGGAAACACAUUCACCAUGAGGAAAGUUUAGACUGAAAGCAGAACAACAACAACAUGCCCACAUGCCCUCUCCACUCGCUCUGGAGAAAAACAACCCUCAUCUGCCCCCGGUAGAAACAGCCUCAACAGAUGGGGAAGUGCUGUUUUAGUCAUAACAUGAGGUAAAUAAUAUGGCUGCUGAGGGGCUUUCAGCACAUAUUCUGAGUCCAGUGAGUUGACAGUGGGCGUCAAAAUUGGGCAGGAGUUGAGGCUGUUCAGCUUAACAAGUAUGCACUUAGCAACACUUGCUGCAAUAUCACAAGCUGGGCUGAAUGGGGAUGUUGUUUUUUUAAAGUUAUAGUGUAAUUACACUAUAAUGUUAUCCACCUGAAGUAAUCCCAAAUUGAUAAUCUAUAACUUUGGUUAUUGUAAAUGGUAGGUUUCUCUCCUGCCAUGAUUAUCUCCCAUGUGAAAUCAGCAAUAAAUAAAAUGGUUCCAUAUGGGUCAUUAGAAAACAGUGAUAUCAGAUGGGAAUUUCUGUUGUAUGAAUCUACCUGAGGGUCUGUCACUUAUCUGCACACACCUGAGGCUAAACACAACAGAUGGAUAAUAAACAGACAUAUAAGUUAAUGAUCUGUCUUAUAUAAGCAUUAGGCUGAAUUACUGCCCAACAACACUGCAUUAAAAAAAACAAAAACAUCAUGAGACACGACACCAUGGAGCUGGGACAGAUAUACUCUAAUAUGUUAUUGAUUAUCUCACUGGGAUCUUCAUCAAGAUUAUAUUUUGUUACUUUGGAUUACAUGACCUUGUCACAAACCAUAAAUAUUCCCUUUUAUUGACAAUUUGUUCUAUCGUAGAAAAGGUUUCAGUCGUAGUCAUCUGGACACUGUUUUCAGAAUCAAGACGUUCUCAAUUGUGAAAAUAGUCUGAGAACUCAGAAAUGUAAGCUACUCUGUGUUGCUUAGGCCCUGCCCUCUGGGAGGAGUCUUCCUGAGUGUCUGCUGUUAACCCUGCCUAGUUUCACCUGAAACUGACCUUUUGUUUCCAUGAUGUGUUCCAUCAUGACAAUGUGUUGUACUUAACAGACUUUAACCUGAAUUGUGUGGUUAUCCUUUACAACUAUUAACAAGCAAUACAUUAACACCUAUAAAACAAUUGAUAAGCUCACAACCUUUGUCCUUUAAACAUGGUUGAGUCAUUUGAUCAACUGACUGUGAAACCUCCCCUGAACAGUGAUUGCAGUGAACAGCAACAUAGGUGGCAAAAAUUAGCAUGGCUGGCUAACUAGUUAGCUACAGUAUUAACCUAGCAUUACUUCCAAGGUCAGGAGUUAGCAUAUCAUUAGCUAACUACAUUAUCAUUAUGUGGUGUUACUGGUUACUUUAGAAAAAGCCCCUUUCAGGACUGACACAUCCACUGAGGCCACAGACGCUACUAACCACUAUAUCAAAGUUUAGGGUAAUGUUAGCGGCUUUGUCCUGCUCUUUAUUGGAUUUGGGAAAGUUUAUCCGAAAUAGCUUUGCCAAAAAAUCAUCGGAAUGUCCUCAUCCUCAAGUCCUUCUCUCAAGUAAAAGUGAAACAUACUAUAUUGUUGCAAGACACGAAGCGUUAACUAACCUUUGUGUUUUUUGUCAAAGUAACUUAUUAUGUAUUUCUAGAGUAAUCAUAUGAACAUCGUUAUGUUUGAAAAACAGUCUGAUAUUAAAUUUUUUCUUUCAACAUUGUACUUUUAUCCUAACUAGCUACCCUGCAAUACAAGAACAAUGCAGUUUCUUUAUUUCCAUGUCUUCUAUAUGGAUCAUCAACUGGCAUGGAUGCUGUCUUUUUUACCUGGAAAAUACAGCUUUAGCGUCAGUCUUUAGUGCAUCAUUAGCAAAUUAGAAUGGUAUCAUGUAUAUAACCAUCAACUGCAUAUUUAAGACCCUUUUGCAAGUUUUAUCACUUUCAUAUAAGUCAGUGAGAAACAUUAAAAAGUUAGUUAGCUAGCUAACUAAGGCUAAUCAAAUCUGCUAGCUACAGUUGUAAUUUCAACUGGCAAAAUGUAGUUAAAGACGCAUUGUUUCAACAAUGACCAAUUUUGAGUGGUAAAUCUCUCACCAUUAUCAUUAUAAACUGCAUAUGUGCCGUGCUAGAAUGGAAAACUUGACAGGCGUAGCAAUAGUAACUAAUUGAAGCGGGGCUAAGUGAAGUCACACACCCACAUACACACAAAAGCAAUACAUACAGACAGUGUUGUGUCAUAAAAAGUUCUCAGCAAAAAAAGUGAGGAAGUGACAAAAGGAAGCCAGGGGAGAUGAAGAGAUUUGUCAGAGGAGGAAGAGGCAAACUGAGGAAAUCAAACUUGUUGACCACACACACAGCUGAUAACUCUGCCAGUUUCAUUUCUGCAUUAUUGUCAUCAACACCAAAUGUAGAACUGGUAUACACUGGCAUGUGUUCUGCAGCCUCGCUGAUGCAGAUGAAAACGCAAUGCCCGAUUAAGCUAUUGGAUGAAAGGAUUAAAUGAAAUAGAACAGUAGAGCAACAUUGGCUUUAGUUUAUACCCAGAAUACAAUAGCUCAGAGUAUUCCCAUUCUUCCGUAAUAGUAUGAAACACAGUGAUACAGUGCUGUAAGACAGAUAGCCAGAAGACUGGGGCAAUAACAAAACACAUUAAUCACAAAUGGGCCUGACAGACUUGGUUGCUUUGUCCCCAAACACAUAAAAAACAAAAACAUAAAAAGGGAACAAUAAUAACACAGUUAAUUGUUUGCAAGAAUUUUGGGUCUGAUAUGCAAACAAGUCUGGCAUGUUCUGUUCAUAAGAUAUCUUUCUCCCUGCCUUCCUGUAGAGUACAAAAAAAUGGCUCCAACCUGCAGUCUAGGAGCCUCUUUCACAAAGCUCCGAGAACACGCACGGUGACAUAAAGUGCUCUUACACAAGUGUUCAAUAAUGGUAGGAGAAAUAAUGCAGAAAACAGCAUCUGGACCUUACAUUACGCCUGAGGAUGAAUCAAUUUCCUCAGGGCACAAAGGGAGCGGAUGCAGUUUAAGGUGUUAUGUCGCAGACAAACAAAACCUGGUGACAAGCAGGAGGAACCAGCGGGGCCAUUAGUGCCCCCAGACUUAUUGUUCUCUCUCUUUUCCUGUCAGUCAGAGCUGAUGAGAGCCUUUUCAAAGCAAACCAGAAGGGCCUCAUCUACAGUCCUCAGCGGAGCAAUCGGAGAAAGAAUAGACUCGGUGGGUGAAAACAUCACGAACAACAGACGCUACUGCAGCCUUUUGGGAAAUUGUAGUAAUGUAUGAGCGGGAAAUAGAUUCAUUGUCCCACUAAGUGCCAGACAAGCCUCAACCCGAUGCUCUUUGCACAUGUGACAGAAGCUGUUAAACCACAGUUGGCAGUGGCAGCACAAGGUUAGAGAACUGUACAAAUUACCAAAUUCACUGAGUGGCUGACAAAAUGAUUUGAAGAAACUGAAAGGAAAAAAGUUACAAUGCAAGAUAAUUAAUCGUUAAGUGCUCAAGCAGAACUGCGUGACAGCCACUGAAAACUGUGGUUAUACUAGGUAGCCAGCCAGUGUGAAAGUGUGGGGGUUUGAAAGAGACAGUGCAUGCUCAGCAAAACCUCUCUGGAUAAAUAAAGUUAAAGAUAAAAAUCAAAUUACAGCAGCCACCAAUUUCACAUUGUGUUGAUUUGGCAGAGUCUACAACUGUCUAGCAGCAUGUGGUUUCCGUCACUAAUCAAAUCAGAUCCUUGACAGAAUUUACACACUGAAAAUGUUUCUUACCAUGCAGACCUUUCAAGAGUGUUGAAAUUACCUCACAUCAAAAACAGUAAUAUUGUUUCCAAUAUCAGAUAAUUAAAGAUCUCUGGCCAACAGUAUAUCGCUCCUGCAAUCCCAAAACAAGUACACCUAUCGUGGAGAAGUUUUUUGUAUCAUAGCUACAGAAAAUGCAUUAAAAGCCCCUACAACCUUGGUUUCAAAUCCUAAGUAUUUUUCUAGAUUAUUAAAUAGCCGUGACUAAAUAAGCAACCAUCAAAUUUAAAGUUAGGAAAAAAAACAAUUUUUGAGUUUAGCACUCAAAAGCGCAGCUCAUUUGCUUUAUCAGGACUGUGUGGGUGUGGUUUGAUCCAAUUUAAGUGACCGUGCUGGCAAUUUAAGCAAACAACCCACCAACUGUCAACAUAUUCUGAUUGAAAUCCUGAUUGGUGCUUGGAAGUAUGAGACCCCAUGUUUUUCCAACCAAGCCCCGCCCACUCCAAAUCAGUGAGAACACAGACAAAAAACACAAAUACAGAAAUCUCUCAUGUGAAAUACCCAAAACUGUUCCAAUCUUGGCAGAAAACUGUAUGGUAGUGUAUGGUCAUGCAGGGAACCCAUCACUCAUAGCUGAUCGAGAACAUAACUUUUCAGCUAAAAUAAAAUCUA